AAAGUCGUAACAAGGUCUCCGUUGGUGAACCAGCGGAGGGAUCAUUACAGAGUUCUGAAAAGACUCCCAAACCAUUGUGAACAUACCCGUAACCGUGUUGCCUCGGCGGGCGGCCCCCUCACCGGGGCCGCUGCCUCCCUCGGGGGGUGCCCGCCGGAGCGCCAAAAACUAUACUGUAUUCUAGUGGCCUCUCUGAGAAAACAAGCAAAUAAGUUAAAACUUUCAACAACGGAUCUCUUGGUUCUG
rnacentral:misc_RNA from 1 species